rnacentral:rRNA from 1 species
AAGGAUCAUUAUUGAAUAUUCUGGAUGGGUUGUAGCUGGCUCUUCGGGGCAUGUGCACGCCUGUCUUGACUUUAUUCAUCCACCUGUGCACUUUUUGUAGUCUUGGAGGUUGAGAGCGGUCGACUAUCGGAUAGCUGUUAUGGCCUUUCCGGAUGUGAGGAAUUGCUGAGUGCAAAAGCAUACAGCUCUUCUCAAAACGACUUGCAAUACCUCUCCUUCAAGUACUAUGUAUUCAUAUACCACAUAGUAUGUUGUAGAAUGUGAUCAAUGGGCUUAUGUGCCUAUAAUAAUCAUAUACAACUUUCAGCAACGGAUCUCUUGGCUCUCGCAUCGAUGAAGAACGCAGCGAAAUGCGAUAAGUAAUGUGAAUUGCAGAAUUCAGUGAAUCAUCGAAUCUUUGAACGCACCUUGCGCUCCUUGGUAUUCCGAGGAGCAUGCCUGUUUGAGUGUCAUUAAAUUCUCAACCCCUCUAGCUUUUGCGAGCUGUGAUGGGGCUUGGAUGUUGGGUUUGCGGGCCUUUAUUACUAGAGGUCGGCUCUCCUGAAAUGCAUUAGCGGAACCGUUUGCAGUCCCGUCACUAGUGUGAUAAUUAUCUACACUGUGAUGAUUGCUCUCUGACUAGUUCAGCUGCUAAUCGUCCACUAUCGGACAAUAUUUAAUGAACUUCUUGACCUCAAAUCAGGUAGGACUACCCGCUGACUUAA